rnacentral:rRNA from 1 species
UACGAGGGGGGCGAGCGUUAAUCGGAAUUACUGGGCGUAAAGCGUGCGCAGGCGGUUUUGUAAGCCAGAUGUGAAAGCCCCGGGCUUAACCUGGGAAUGGCAUUUGGGACUGCAAGGCUUGAGUGCGGCAGAGGAGACUGGAAUUCCUGGUGUAGCAGUGAAAUGCGUAGAUAUCAGGAGGAAUACCGAUGGCGAAGGCAGGUCUCUGGGCUGACACUGACGCUCAUGCACGAAAGCGUGGGGAGCAAACAGG